rnacentral:rRNA from 1 species
AUUGAACGCUGGCGGCAGGCCUAACACAUGCAAGUCGAGCGCGCGGCGGACGGGUGAGUACUGUAUGGGGAUCUGUCCGUUAGCGGGGGAUCACUAUUGGAAACGGUAUCUAAUACCGCACACUAUCGGCUGUACCCAUAUGGGAUGAGCUAGUCGGUGUGGUAAUGGCUCACCUAGGCGCCGAUCCCCAGAUGGUCUGAGAGGAUGAUCAGCCACACUGGGACUGAGACACGGCCCAGACUCCUACGGGAGGCAGCAGUGGGGAAUAUUGCGCAAUGGGCGCAAGCCUGAUGCAGCCAUGCCGCGUGUAUGAAGAAGGCCCUCGGGUUGGAAAGUACUUUCAGUGGGGAGCGUUACCUACAGAAGAAGCACCGGCUAACUACGUGCCAGCAGCCGCGGUAAUAC